rnacentral:rRNA from 1 species
CGGUUACUUUGCCACCUCCAACGACGCAGCUGGAGUCAGUCAAUGUGAACCUUGGUACCUACGUUCAGGUUUGAACGCCGGUCCUAUUGUAGUGUGGGUGUGGCACGCUAACUGGGAGGAAUUAAACGAAGAAGAAGAAGCUAGUCGGUCCUCCUAUUCUACAGAGGAAAGUAGAAACGAACGUAAGAAGUACAGCGGUGCGUUAGAGAGAUUAAUGUACGGAACCGACGAAGAGUCCAAAGGGGAUUAGAGGGUUCUUUGAACCGAAACAAGAAAAAGCUCAAGUACUCUACCGGACCUUCGCUCUGACGAGACUUGUGGAAAACACGGGUUGUCUUGCCCGCAGGUGUCCGGCCGGGAGCACGUGUUCAGACCUAGUACCGGUGUCGCCGCCGCUCGAAUGGGUAGCGGACGGAGUUGCAGCGGAAGGACGAGGACGAGCGGAAGAAGAUGCAGAGCGCGGGACGGCACGGCGGCCUGAGCCGCUGCAGGUACUUGCCGACCUCGCCGCUGCUCGCGCUCCCCGUGCCAGUACCGCCGCCGACGCUGCCACGAGUGGCCGCCGACCUCCGACUGUUCCUGUCGACGGGCGCCCCUGCCCCGAUGCAGCUAAUGGAAAUGGACAAGAUGACGCAGACGCCGCUGCUCGUGGCCCGGGAACCCAUGCGGCGCUACCGGCGCACCGAGCGGCACGAGAAGAUGCAGGACCCGCUGUGGCGGCGCCAGAUGAAGACGAGGUCGGAGCUCCCGGAGAGCGCGGACGAGGCGGACAGGGGCCGGCACCGGCCGCACUGCGAGGAGAGCGACCCGUUGCCGCGCGGCCUGCGCGAGAGGUGGCAGCGGAGAAAGCGCAGCCCGCCUCCGCCGCCCUUCCCCCGCUCGUGGCGGCACCCAGAGUUGCCGAACGAGCCGCCGCGCGACAAGCACAGGAGGCGGCACGAGCCGCAGUAGACGGAGGCGCAGCCGCCGGCGCCACAGCGGUAGCUGUCUCCGUCGAAGAAGGCCCUGCGUACGAAGGAGGAGGAGCGGGAGCGGCGGCAGCGGCAGCAGGAGCGGCACCCGCUCCAGUCGUAUACCCCGCGGGAGCGGAAGUGGAGGGAGAUGGAACAUAUGCAGGAGCAGCAGCAGAAGUAGGUGCCGUCUAGCGUGCUGCCUCUCCGUCUCCGCCGCACCCAGCUGUUGUGGGGCCGGAGCAGGCUCGAGACGUUGCAGCACCUCUGCCUAAAAAUGCGGGGCCUGGUUCUAGGCGACGAGGGGCUUUGCCGCGGGGAGGACGUCAUGAUGCGGCCGCUGCGUUGCUUCUUCUUCUCCUCGCACAAGACCAGCCACCACACGCACGACCUCGAUGGAGACAUGGAGGGCGCCGCCGACUGGUAUGGCCUGCGCUCGCUCCUCGCGACCUCGUUCGGCCGGCGCCAGCGGCGCCGCUGGGAAAGGGGACAGAAGGAGAGGACGGAUACCUCGGUGCGGUGGCCCUCGGGCGAAGAGCGGGGGGAGGAGCUGCCGUAGCGGCCGGACAAGGACCCGGACGAGCGGAAGGAGCCGUGCUUGCGACUACGGGGCGGCUGCUUUAAGGAGAGCCGGACCGAGCGGCCACCCAAGCAGUACUCGCACCGGACCCUCAUGCAGUAGCGCUUGCUCGAGGAGAGGGAAGAGCACAGGCGGCCGGACCACGACCCGCACCUAGGCCGCUGCGACCCCUACUGUCAAGAUCGUACCCCGUUGAGCGACCCGCUGGAGUAGCGGUUGCACCGGCACCGGCACCGCCGCGCGGCGCCACCUCGGGUCCACCGGCAUCGGCCAACGAUGCCGCCCGGCCACAAGUUGCAGGAGCAACCCGACCCGGACAGAGACGACGAAAGAACGACCCAGCCCAUGGGCUUAGGCCAUCGCUAUGGGACCCUCGGGUCCGAAAUAGUCUGCGAUCCGACCCAUCGAUGACCCGAAAAGACCCGGAAGCAGUACGAGGGCUCUUCCCCGUACUUCCACCUAUCCUGCGACCCGAAACCCGAGGAACGGUAUAUGAACACAAAGAACACAUGAUGAGGGACGGAAAAACGAAUUAAAUUUCCAAGGUUGCCGAAAAGGGAGAUCAAUCCCAAGGAGACCAAGAGCGCCCCCGCUAGAACGGCGGCAGCUCAGAAACGAAGGGAUGGUGGCUAGUUGAGGGACGAAUGAGUAGACGCACCGCACCUCCCACCGGUAGAACCAGCGAAAGAGGACGAGCAUGAUCCCCGCCCCGGCCACCUUUGAUCCCACAUGGGGUUUUGUUGGGCUAGACUAGAAGCCCAAUCUCUAAGGUUACCGCAGAAGGCCUCGAAGCUCAAGGAGUCCUCAGUUACUACAUCUCGUCUACUACUUCCUUAACCCGGACUGUCUCCUCCUGAACCUACUACAACACAAACUACUCCUUCGACGUGGCGGGCUCCCCGGAUCUACCUAUCGGGACCGCUCCCAAUUGUGGACGUUCUUGAUGUCAGUCUGAACCAAGAUGUCCUUGUACGCUCGCCGAACCCUAUAACGCGUUCUCCGCUCUAAGUUUGGAAACCUCCUAUUGGAUAUGUGAUAGGUUAGGAGAACGGAACCUCUAACCCUCUCUCAGUACUUGCUACCGGGUACCUUAAAAUCUCCUCUACGCCACUAUGAACACGGCAUACUACCCUAGAGCUUCGGAAGGUGACAAUUCGAACUCUGUUAACUAUAUACCUAGGUUUAGGUACUACAUGGUCUAAACAUGCGGGUAGAGCAUUGACGCGAACGACGAUUCCACCCUCUUCACGAAAAGAGACUUGGGUUUAGUGUACUAAAACAACCGUUGAAGGUGGCUCAAACCCAGUCUUAGUUACAGAGUUUUGGGGAGUUCUUACGCCACAGGUACUAAUCUCUACCCUUCUCUGUCUAAAUAUCUCAGUUCAUACUCUUCGAGGGCCUGACCACACGCCAAACACCG